rnacentral:snRNA from 1 species
AGAUGUGAGGGCAAUCUGUCACACUCCUCUGGUCUCCAGGGUUGAUCCUGCUGGUGUGGCUNGGCUAGGCAGGUCCCCUUCCUCCUGCUCUGUGUGUGUCCUUCCCAAAGCCGGUGCUCAGACCAAGAGGAUGACCCUCCCCAACAGAUGUGCUCCUGCGCUGGAAACAAACUGCUCUCACUCUGACUUAAAAAUCUUUAAAUUGCAUUUAUUAUGUAUGUUUGUGUGUGUGAAUGCACACACAUGCAUGCCAU